CAGUGUUGAUAUAAAGCCUUGUUUCAAGGUGCAGUGCUUUAUAGAUCUGAACGUUUAGCACAACUUGAAUAGGCGUGCAGUAAUGCUAAAAGAACCCGUUUUAA
rnacentral:ncRNA from 12 species